rnacentral:rRNA from 1 species
UACGAAGGGGGCUAGCGUUGUUCGGAAUUACUGGGCGUAAAGCGCGCGCAGGUGGCCAUCCAAGUCAGGGGUGAAAGCCCGGAGCUCAACUCCGGAAUUGCCUUUGAAACUGUUUGGCUUGAGUACGGGAGAGGUGAGUGGAAUUCCCAGUGUAGAGGUGAAAUUCGUAGAUAUUGGGAAGAACACCGGUGGCGAAGGCGGCUCACUGGCCCGUUACUGACACUCAUGCGCGACAGCGUGGGGAUCAAACAGG